UAUUAAAAAUUUCAUCUAUUUGUACUGUUAAAAACUAACAUGAUUACUGGAAUAACCAGACAGUGACACAUGAACCUCAUAUUGAUAUACAAGAACCAGUUUUUAACAGUAAAAACCGAUAGUAUUUUUAAUA
rfam:Gossypium arboreum cultivar AKA8401 contig_34037_1, whole genome shotgun sequence.